rnacentral:lncRNA from 1 species
GACAAUUUCAAGAGACUUCCCUACUCACUGCAUUUGAAGAAAACAAAAAAACAAAAAAAAAGAAACAAUAUUUCAAGAACAGAUCAUUAAAUUCAUGGUAUAUAUAAAGAAAUUUAAUUGAAAUCAAAGGAAUAGAAGAAGGGAGAAGCGUACUUGGGAGCCAUUGCUGCUACUCUCUGUUACUCUGUUACCUCAUACGAUUCGUAAUUGAAGGCCUUGUUGAGGGUUGUUAGGGUUUGUUAAAGGGUUGGUCAGGAUAGAAGCAUGAAAAGGAGGGAGAAGGUUGGAAGGAAAUGGAAAGAAAAAUGAAAAAAAGAAGAAGAUGUUUCAGACGUGAGAAAGAAAUGAGAAAUGAGAAAGAAAUGAGAAGACGGCUGGGGAGGGUAAAACAGACUCUGAUUAGCUAAUCCUUACUUUUGGAAGGUAUUAGAAAUCAGCGUUGAAG